rnacentral:rRNA from 1 species
AGGACUAACGCUGGCGGCGUGCCUAACACAUGCAAGUCGAACGAGGUAGCAAUACCUAGUGGCAGACGGGUGAGUAACACGUAGUCAACCUUCCCGAUAGUGGGGGAUAACUAGCCGAAAGGUUAGCUAAUACCGCAUACGAUCUUCGAGUGGCAUCAUUUGAAGAUGAAAGGAGCAAUCCGCUUUCGGACGGGACUGCGUCCCAUUAGCUAGAUGGUGGGGUAAUGGCCUACCAUGGCAACGAUGGGUAGCUGGUUUGAGAGAGCGACCAGCCACACUGGGACUGAGAAACGGCCCAGACUCCUACGGAGGCAGCAGUGAGGAAUUUUCCGCAAUGGGCGAAAGCCUGACGGAGCGACGCCGCGUGUGGGAAGAAGGCCUUCGGGUCGUAAACCACUGUCGAAGGGGAAAUACUGAUGGUACCCUUGGAGGAAGCCCGGCUAACUACGUGCCAGCAGCCGC